UCCCUCUUAGCUCAGUUGGUAGAGCGCGUCACUAGUACCUUGAAUAUUCAAGUUGUAAUGACGAGGUCAGUCGUUCAAGUCGGCUAGCGGGAA